rnacentral:rRNA from 1 species
GUAAAGCUUACAUCUCUUCGGAGCAUUUUACGAGGUGCUGCAUGGUUGUCGUCAGCUCGUGCCGUGAGGUGUCGGGUUAAGUCCCAUAACGAGCGCAACCCCUACCUUUAGUUGCCAUCAGGUUAAGCUGGGGACUCUAAAGGAACUGCCUACGCAAGUAGUGAGGAAGGCGGGGAUGACGUCAAAUCAGCACGGCCCUUACGUCCAGGGCUACACACGUGCUACAAUGGCCGAUACAGAGGGCAGCUACCUGGUGACAGGAUGCAAAUCUCCAAAGUCGGUCUCAGUUCGGAUCGGAGUCUGCAACCCGACUCCGUGAAGUUGGAUUCGCUAGUAAUCGCGCAUCAGCCAUGGCGCGGUGAAUACGUUCCCGGGCCCU